CCCACUCCGCCCCGCCCCGCCCCGCUCCGCCCCGCAGGGCCCCACCCGGCCCAGGCAGCUCACUCACCCCGGCCCGGCGGGUUCCUCUUUCCUACCCCCGCCCUGCUGGCAGCGGCGCUGCGCCCGCUGGAAUUUGUAGUCUCUGCUCCGCCCUCUCUGGACGCCGGCGGGGGCGGCUUCGGGCCAAAAACUAUAACUCCCGGCGGCCCUCGCGAGAGCCCGCCAGGUGCAUCCGGGCCCCGAAUUGUCGCGAGGCUAAAAGAGGCACGCGUGAAGCACCCUGGAAGUUGUAGUCUGGAGUGACUUGGUCCAUGCCGUUGAAGAGUGGGGGUUACAUUUCCCCGGAUGCAGUGCGCCGUGACCGCCUUGGGCGUUUUGCCGGGAGUGUACAGCCUCUGUGGGUGGUCUCCGAGCCGAGUGGUGGCCUCGCGUACGGGGCUACGGGACCCGGUCUAGGUUCACAGGGCAGGGCAUGUUGGUGGGAUUCCACGCCCCGGUCGGAGGCAUCUCCGGAUUCCGCGCCCUUAGCGGAGCUGAGGCCCCCUCGAAAAUUAAGACUACAGGCCAGCACCGUGGGGACCGGGCCACCGAGGCGGGCGGAGCAGGGCUCCACCUUGCUUUGGAGCUGCUUCAAGCGCGCAGUCGCGGCCACUGAGUUCGAUGACCUCCUCCUGACCCAGGAAGGACGGUGGCGCAGACCCUGCAGCGCCGGGCCACCGAGGCGCACUUCCGGCAGCAGGAGUAGCUGAAGGACAGUGCCUGUGACUUGGGUUCUGAACCGGUGGAGCCGGUCCGACGGGUCAGCAGUCUCAGAGCCGUCCUCAGUCACUCUUGUUUGGACUCUACCCCACGCUUUAGGAGCUCGAAGGACUCGGAAUGGGGAGGCUCAGUGGGUGCUCUAGCCCUAGUGACCAAACUGCCAGGGUCUAGGUGGCAUCUGGACCAGUUUUGUCCCAACAGGGUAAGGCCAGACAGGUGGGUUUUCUGUUUGGGUUGUCUCUGCCCCUGGGCUGCCCAGAGAAGGAAAACUCAGCAGCCCCAGUAUCACUGCUUCUUUCAGUACUAGGGAUUGAACCCAAAGCCUUUGCAUUGAGCUACAUCCCUAGCCCUUUUAUCAUUUUUUAUUUUGAGACAAGGUUUCACUAAAUUGCCCAUCUGGGCUGGAAUUUCUGUUAUCCUCCUGCCUCGGCCUUUCAGAGUGCUGGAAUUAAAGGCCUGUGCCACCACAGCCAGCCUUUGGGUCUUUAGCUUUGUCCAGUGCUGUAGAGAAUCAGCUCUUUCUAGGGCAAAUUAUUCCUCACUGCUGGGCAAAGCCCUUCUGAGUUCUCUACCGAUUCCCAUGAACUUGCAGUUUUCCUGUCUGCCUGGGGGACAAGUUACUGUUGUCCCUGUGUGAGCCCAACUCCCACUCAUUCUCUGUGAUUCUUCCCCAUUCUCAGUCCUGUGGAGUUUCUGCACAUGCAUGUAUUAGUCUAGGGUCCAUCAAGCUCUCCAGGGCCUUCCUGUGCCACACUCCCCUCUAGCUGCACCAUGUCCACAGGCCGGGAAUUUCCUGUCUCCCACCUCACCCUUCAGAUCUGUUUCAGCUUCCCAGAGUUGCUGGGGGGAGGGGGCUCAAAUGUGAGUAGUGGUUGCCUCUGUAAUUAUAUUGGCUUUUUAAAAACUCUUUGAUUUUAAUUAACAACUACUGGUUUACUACUGUGUAAAACAGUGUUUGUGUGCCUUGUUUCCAGCCUCCUCCCAUGACCAGGACACCCCAUUCUCUGAGUCAUCAACACCAGGUGCAUGUUACCAGGAUGGUGAGAUGUCAUGGUGCUAAGGGGGGAUCCUGGUGUGUUUCUGCUCAGCGUGCUGGCCAGGUUUGGUGGCACAUGCCUGUAAUCUCACCUACUCAGGAGGCUGAAGUAAGAAGUGGAUCUUGAAUUCAAGGCCAACCUGGGCUGCAUAGUGAAACCUUGGUCAGAACACCAUAAAGGGGCAGGGCUCAGUGGUAGAGCACCUGUCUAGCAAGUAUGAAGCUGUGGGUUCCAUCCCCAGUGCCCCCACUCCCCCCACACAGCCUUAUGUGCUGUGUAGUCCUUUGUGUGCCUGUCUCUGCACUGUACAUCUUUUUUUUUUUUUUUUUUUUUUUUUUGUCUUUUUGAGACAGGGUCUUNNNNNNNNNNNNNNNNNNNNNNNNNNNNNNNNNNNNNNNNNNNNNNNNNNNNNNNNNNNNNNNNNNNNNNNNNNNNNNNNNNNNNNNNNNNNNNNNNNNNCAACGAUCCUCCUGCCUCAGCCUCCCAAGUGCUGGGAUUACAGGAGUGCACCACCACACCCGGCUUGCACUGUGCAUCUUCACACUCCUCCCUGGGUGUCCACUGGAGCAGGAGGUUUCAGUCAUCACCCUGGGUGUACCUGAAGUGUCCCCUGGGCCUGAGACCUCAUAUUUUACUCCCUUGUCUAGAGGGACCCCACCCCACAGGAGCCUCUUGAGAAAGGGGUAUGCCAGCCAAAUUAGGGUGCUGCAUGUCUAAAGUGUCUGCACACACACCCUCCCACAGCAGACAGGUAGCCCAGCCAGCUACAGUUUCAGCAUGGUUGUGGGCCCUCCAGUUCCAUCCUUACCCACUAGCCUGUGCAUGGCUCCUGCUUCCCUCCCGAGGCCUUCAAGAUCGCUUUUUUUCUUUUCCUUUCCUUUCUUCUUUCUGGUUUUGUUGUUGUUGCUUUGUUUUAGUUUGGUUUGGUUUUGGUGCUGGGGAUUGAACCCAGCACCUCCUGCAUGCUAGGUAAGGGCUCUGCCACUGAGCUGCACCCCCAGCCCAGCAUGUAAGAUCACCCCCCCACACUUUACCCAUCUGUGACCAUGCACCUGGUUUGGGCCAGUUUUCUCUUUCUCCUGUUUGGGGAACAUGGGUCCAACUGCUCUGGGCUCUUGAGUUUCCUCCCAUCAGUUCCUGCCUUCUUGCUGCAGCUCCAAUGUUGGACCUCUUGUGACAUAGGACCUUUCUAUCUCCUUUCUUUUGUGUGUUAGUGAGCACACUUAGUGUUCAGCAUUCUGCUGUUGGCUUGGAGUCUGAGUCCUUUUGCCCUCAGUGAGUGUGGCAAGCCCCUACAUGUCCACAUGUCCUCAGUCAGAGCUGAGAUAAUGUCACUGAACACAAAAGCCACCUGGGAACCAGAAGGCCAAGUGGCUGGUCCAGAAAGAGGGCAAGGCCCAGGCUCAAAACCAUAGUCUGAAUACCCUUGGAGGACUCCAGUAUCAGUGGAAUCCCCUGGGGGCCCAAGUGGCAGUAUAUUUGCAUACCCAUUUGUUUUUGGGGGGACUAGGGCUUGUACUGAGAAUUGAACCCAAGGCCAAGCAUGCUAAGCAAGUGCUCUACCCAGCCCUUUUUACUUUAUUUUGAAACAGUGUCUCAGAGUUACCUAGGCUGGCCUCAAACUUCAGAUCCUUCUGCCUCAGUCUCCUGAGUAACUGGGAUUAGCUGUGUGGCACCAUGUCUGAUGUCACGCUUCCAUUUUUUAACUUUUAUUUUGUCUUCCUGUACUCUAUGUAUUUUGCCCUGUCUGGAAUAAGGCAGGACAUUGAUAAAUAUGAGAAUACAAAUGGCUGUAACACUAUCUUUGAGUUGCACAAUUUGUGUGACCUGUGAUCCUGAGUAUUGCUGAGUGGACAGCCUGCUCCUCCAGGACACCACCCCUGCUGAUGGCUCCAAGGGAUAGGUUUGGGAGCUUUGUGUCUGGCUCCAUGUGCCACCAACAGUGUCAUGGCUACUCACUCAUCUUAAGACGUGCCCCCCCCAUCCAAGGGAGCUGAAUAUGCAGGGUAAAUCCUGGCCAGCAAGUGGAGUGGGCAGUGCCUUCUGACGCUUGGCUGCCACUGGGAGUUGCAUGGACUCACAAAGGUAUGCAGGGCCAGCUCCUGACUUAUCUCCAUCUGGCUGGUGAAGGACAACAGACCCAGAGCUUAUGGAUGGGCAGUGGGAGGUGAGAGAGGCUGGAUUAGCCCCAGGGAAGUGACAGUCUUGGGGUCCCUCCAGCACCCUCCAUCACUGUCCCCUGGCCCUCAGGCCCAGGCUGAUGCUGCAUACCUGGCUGGCUAGCUGAGCACUCUUGUCUGUGUGACGGGGCUGGGGUAUGAUGAGCCCUGUAGCUACUGUCACUGUCAGGGAAAAUUAGAGUUGGACAGAGGCCUAUCAGACUAGUGUUCCGAGGCUCCUCUGAAAAAGAGAAGCCCCUGGAGUGUUCUCAGGGACCCCAUAGGCUCAGAAUGUGACAGCUGACUCCACAGUUUAGAUGGCAAACAAGGACUUCUCUUAGGAUCUUACCAAGUAGAAGGAAAAUCUCUAGUUUAAAACAAAAUAUGUUUAUUGCCUUAAGGGCCACAGAAAUGCAGAGCCAGCUGAAGAUGCCUGGUCUGAUGCCAGGGAAGCCACGUGGGUGGAGAGCUGGGGCCAGUGAAUCCCACCAGGGAUCCAUAGACAUCUGCAGGGUAACUGGUGCUCAUUAUCCCUAAGGGUAGGCACUUUCCACCCCAGGAGGAUCUCAAAUUCAGCAUAUGGAAGGCUAG
ensembl:lincRNA